CACGCCCUAAACGAUGCACACUAGUUGUUGUGAGGCUAGACCUUGCAGUAAUGCAGUUAACACAUUAAGUGUGCCGCCUGGGGAGUACGGUCGCAAGAUUAAAACUCAAAGGAAUAGACGGGGACCCGCACAAGCGGUGGAGCAUGUGGUUUAAUUCGACGAUACACGAAGAACCUUACCUGGACUUGACAUAGUAAGAACUUUCUAGAGAUAGAUUGGUGUCUGCUUGCAGAAACUUAUAUACAGGUGC
rnacentral:rRNA from 2 species